rnacentral:rRNA from 1 species
AACCUUAAACGGGGGAUCACUUGGCUCAUGGGUCGAUGAAGACCGCAGCUAACUGCGUGUCACCAUGUGAACUGCAGGACACACGAUCAUUGACAUGUUGAACGCAUAUUGCACCCCAUACGA